AACUCUUAAAUGCUACCAACUUGCAAAAUUCAAAUUUAAACAUGUCAAAAAAUUCUGAAAAAAAUCAUGCAUGUUCACAACACAUAUGUCGACAACCCCUAAAAAAUUCAGUUCAAAAUUCAAAAUAGAAACAAAAAAAGACAAAUUCAGAUGUGAAUAGUGUCAUUUUUGUUUUUGUCUUGUUUUGACAAUAUUCAUGAUGGAUUUGCCUUUUUGUUUCACUUUGUGUAUGUCGAAUUUUGAUCUGAUUUUUUAGCGGUUGUUAACCCAUGUGUUGCGAACAUCUAUGAUAUUUUUUCAGAAUUUUUGACACGUCCAAAUUUGAAUCUUACAAGUUGGUAUCAUGGUAUCAUUGAAGGACUGAUAUCACCUGAAGCUUUCCCACACAAACACGUCGACCCCAUGGCCACAACGCCACCUAGCUUCCCCUCCCCGCGGCACGCUCCAAUGCCACUCCGAAAAAUUUCUCCAUUGAUUUCCACACGGCCCAGAUGCUAGCCUACACAAAUGCUACUAGCUUACACAAACACGGGAAAGGACAAUAUGCUGAUGCCAACUCUUAAAUGCUACCAACUUGCAAAAUUCAAAUUUAAACAUGUCAAAAAAUUCUGAAAAAAAUCAUGCAUGUUCACAACACAUAUGUCGACAACCCCUAAAAAAUUCAGUUCGAAAUUCAAAAUAGAAACAAAAAAAGACAAAUUCAGAUGUGAAUAGUGUCAUUUUUGUUUUUGUCUUGUUUUGACAAUAUUCAUGAUGGAUUUGCCGUUUUUUUUUUCACUUUGUGUAUGUCGAAUUUUGAUCUGAUUUUUUAGCGGUUGUUAACCCAUGUGUUGCGAACAUCUAUGAUAUUUUUCAGAAUUUUUUGACACAUCCAAAUUUGAAUCUUACAAGUUGGUAUCAUGGUAUCAUUGAAGGACUGAUAUCACCUGAAGCUUUCCCACACAAACACGUCGACCCCAUGGCCAGAACGCCACCUAGCUUCCCCUCCCCGCGGCACGCUCCAAUGCCACUCCGAAAAAUUUCUCCAUUGAUUUCCACACGGCCCAGAUGCUAGCCUACACAAAAUGCUACUAGCUUACACAAACACGGGAAAGGACAAUAUGCUGAUAUCAACUCUUUAAUGCUACCAACUUGCAAAAUUCAAAUUUAAACAUGUCAAAAAAUUCUGAAAAAAAUCAUGCAUGUUCACAACACAUAUGUCGACAACCCCUAAAAAUUCAGUUCAAAAUUCAAAAUAGAAACAAAAAAAGACAAAUUCAGAUGUGAAUAGUGUCAUUUUUAUUUUUGUCUUGUUUUGACAAUAUUCAUGAUGGAUUUGCCGUUUUUGUUUCACUUUGUGUAUGUCGAAUUUUGAUCUGAUUUUUUAGCGGUUGUUAACCCAUGUGUUGCGAACAUCUAUGAUAUUUUUUCAGAAUUUUUUGACACGUCCAAAUUUGAAUCUUACAAGUUGGUAUCAUGGUAUCAUUGAAGGACUGAUAUCACCUGAAGCUUUCCCACACAAACACGUCGACCCCAUGGCCACAACGCCACCUAGCUUCCCCUCCCCGCGGCACGCUCCAAUGCCACUCCGAAAAAUUUCUCCAUUGAUUUCCACACGGCCCAGAUGCUAGCCUACACAAAAUGCUACUAGCUUACACAAACACGGGAAAGGACAAUAUGCUGAUACCAACUCUUAAAUGCUACCAACUUGCAAAAUUCAAAUUUAAACAUGUCAAAAAAUUCUGAAAAAAAUCAUGCAUGUUCACAACACAUAUGUCGACAACCCCUAAAAAAGUCAGUUCAAAAUUCAAAAUAGAAACAAAAAAAGACAAAUUCAUAUGUGAAUAGUGUCAUUUUUGUUUUUGUCUUGUUUUGACAAUAUUCAUGAUGGAUUUGCCGUUUUUGUUUCACUUUGUGUAUGUCGAAUUUUGAUCUGAUUUUUUAGCGGUUGUUAACCCAUGUGUUGCGAACAUCUAUGAUAUUUUUUCAGAAUUUUUUGACACGUCCAAAUUUGAAUCUUACAAGUUGGUAUCAUGGUAUCAUUGAAGGACUGAUAUCACCUGAAGCUUUCCCACACAAACACGUCGACCCCAUGGCCACAACGCCACCUAGCUUCCCCUCCCCGCGGCACGCUCCAAUGCCACUCCGAAAAAUUUCUCCAUUGAUUUCCACACGGCCCAGAUGCUAGCCUACACAAAAUGCUACUAGCUUACACAAACACGGGAAAGGACAAUAUGCUGAUAUCAACUCUUAAAUGCUACCAACUUGCAAAAUUCAAAUUUAAACAUGUCAAAAAAUUCUGAAAAAAAUCAUGCAUGUUCACAACACAUAUGUCGACAACCCCUAAAAAAGUCAGUUCAAAAUUCAAAAUAGAAACAAAAAAAGACAAAUUCAGAUGUGAAUAGUGUCAUUUUUGUUUUUGUCUUGUUUUGACAAUAUUCAUGAUGGAUUUGCCGUUUUUGUUUCACUUUGUGUAUGUCGAAUUUUGAUCUGAUUUUUUAGCGGUUGUUAACCCAUGUGUUGCGAACAUCUAUGAUAUUUUUUCAGAAUUUUUUGACACGUCCAAAUUUGAAUCUUACAAGUUGGUAUCAUGGUAUCAUUGAAGGACUGAUAUCACCUGAAGCUUUCCCACACAAACACGUCGACCCCAUGGCCAGAACGCCACCUAGCUUCCCCUCCCCGCGGCACGCUCCAAUGCCACUCCGAAAAAUUUCUCCAUUGAUUUCCACACGGCCCAGAUGCUAGCCUACACAAAAUGCUACUAGCUUACACAAACACGGGAAAGGACAAUAUGCUGAUACCAACUCUUAAAUGCUACCAACUUGCAAAAUUCAAAUUUAAACAUGUCAAAAAAUUCUGAAAAAAAUCAUGCAUGUUCACAACACAUAUGUCGACAACCCCUAAAAAAGUCAGUUCAAAAUUCAAAAUAGAAACAAAAAAAGACAAAUUCAGAUGUGAAUAGUGUCAUUUUUGUUUUUGUCUUGUUUUGACAAUAUUCAUGAUGGAUUUGCCGUUUUUGUUUCACUUUGUGUAUGUCGAAUUUUGAUCUGAUUUUUUAGCGGUUGUUAACCCAUGUGUUGCGAACAUCUAUGAUAUUUUUUCAGAAUUUUUUGACACGUCCAAAUUUGAAUCUUACAAGUUGGUAUCAUGGUAUCAUUGAAGGACUGAUAUCACCUGAAGCUUUCCCACACAAACACGUCGACCCCAUGGCCAGAACGCCACCUAGCUUCCCCUCCCCGUGGC
rnacentral:lncRNA from 1 species